CCAUCAAAAGGACUUUUCCAAGGCUUGUAAUGAGGUUGGGCUAACAAGAAAAAUUGGUUUUUCUAGAAUGCAAAAUCCUUGAGUCAAGAGAGCUAACAAAAUAUUCAACAUUUAAGCACAACUCUCUCACCAAUAUCUCUCAUUCCCAACUUCUUCCCUUUUCUUUUCUUUUUCACUGAGCUCAUCUUCAUGCUUUUCUUCUUUUCUUUUCUUUUUCUCAUGAAUUUUAUUUUAUUUUAUUUUUCUUUUCACAACAAUUGAGCUCAAUGCCUUUCACCUGCUUUUUCAAUUUUCCCCCGUACAACCCCAAACUUGAACCUUUUCAUCACAUGCAAUUAAGCUCAUCCCAACUCAAGGUAAAUAAUUUCAAAACAAGGGUUCACAAACUGUUUAAGGCUAAGGUUCAAAAAGGGUAUAAUAUUUCAAGCACUUUGGUUGAAAAUUUGGCUAGAGAAGGGUUUUCAAAAAUGGCCUUGAUCAUAUGGCAAUCACAUGCAAUUCAAUCAAUCAUCAAGAUUAAGGCAAUAUCAUCCAUGUUCUCCUGUGAACAAAACAUUCAACAAUAAGAACUUUGGAGCUCAAUACCUCACAUAUUCUUCCUCACACAAGAUUCAUUCAUACACCCUGCCUAGCAUCA
rnacentral:lncRNA from 1 species